rnacentral:rRNA from 1 species
GAGUUUGAUCUUGGCUCAGGAUGAACGCUAGCGGCAGGCUUAACACAUGCAAGUCGAGGGGUAGAGUUAGCUUGCUAACUUGAGACCGGCGCACGGGUGCGUAACGCGUAUGCAAUCUACCUUGUACAGGGGGAUAGCCCAGAGAAAUUUGGAUUAAUACCCCAUAGUGUUAUGAUGUGGCAUCACAUUAUAACUAAAGUUCCAACGGUACAAGAUGAGCAUGCGUCCCAUUAGCUAGUUGGUGUGGUAACGGCAUACCAAGGCAACGAUGGGUAGGGGUCCUGAGAGGGAGAUCCCCCACACUGGUACUGAGACACGGACCAGACUCCUACGGGAGGCAGCAGUGAGGAAUAUUGGUCAAUGGGCGCAAGCCUGAACCAGCCAUGCCGCGUGCAGGAUGACGGUCCUAUGGAUUGUAAACUGCUUUUGUACAGGAAGAACACUCCCUCGUGAGGGAGCUUGACGGUACUGUAAGAAUAAGGAUCGGCUAACUCCGUGCCAGCC